AUCACAAAUUUUUUCUUAUUUUGUGUUAUUUUUAUUGUUUUAUUGUUGUUGUUGAUGAUGUUGUUCCUGCAUCAUUUGAACAAGUCCAAACUGUAAAUCUAUACAACUUACCAAAAAAAAAAAAAAAACCUUCACCCUAAAUCCCCAUCCCUACCCCACUGAGAAACAAGAUAAAUUAAAGGAGAAAAAUCAACAUUUCUUUUUUAAAGGUAAUUAAUUUGCUUAUAUAUAUAUAUAUGUACACAUAGUUUUUUUCAUUUUUUUUCAAGUUCAAACACCAAAAUUCAAGAGAAAAAAAAAAGAAAAAUAUCACCCAACCAUCCUCCCUCCCUUUUCUUCCCCUCCCCCGCCCCUACUUCAAAAUCUCAAUGGAUCCCUGCAUAUCCAAAAUGAGAAAUACUUAUUUACAGAAAAAAAAGAACAUGGGGAAAAGAGGUGGAUGGGUGAGGCAACAGAGAGCCAGAAAGGGAGGAAGAAAAGCCUGGGGGAUGGGGGUACUUGUGAGAUUUGGGUCUCCUCAUAAAGUCCAGACAAGCCUGAGUUCAAAUGUGCUUUCCCCAGGAAAACACCAUGCUGGGAAAGUCAUGACUUUGUCCCCCUCCCCAUUUUGUUCUGGAAAGGGUGAGGCUCUGAGUUGGCAACCCAACCCCACAGUGGAUAUAUAUUCUGAGGUUCCCCUCAUCACCCCCACAAACUUACACACACUCAUGCGAACACACACACAUACACACACAUACAUGCAUCAAUCAUUGUGACUAAGUAUGAUUAUGAAGCCAGUAUUGGCUCCUUUCAAGUUGAGAAAAAGAGACUUGCCCUAAGGAGUAGGAACAAAUUACCUUCCUCUAUCUCUUUUCUGCUUUCCAAAGUAAUGUGCAGUGUAUCUCCCCUGACAUGUUUCCUCCAAGCAUCAGAGCCACUUCCUAGCACUGAUGCUAGCAUGGACAUUUGGUAACAACUCCUGCCUUAGUGACUUCUUUUCUUUUCUUUUCUCUUAACAUUAAUUAUCCAAUUCUUCAAUGUUCCCCUGGAACAACUGGUUACACCCAAUUAACCAGGUAUUCAGAAUACCCUGAGUUAGGACAAUGGGAAAUAAAGGUCUUCAAUGCCUUUUACUCGCCUUGAAGACUGGACAGUUCUUGAUGCCUUGAUGAAAACUACCAUUCACUAUUCUCCUUAGAUAUCUUUACUAUGGGGUUGUAUUAAUUUUCCGUGCAGGAUAGAGAUUGCUUACUUCAUCAUAUAGUCUUCUAACUUAGGAAUGAAAGCUUGUUGUGUACUUUUUGAUUUUUUUUCUCUUGUUUUUGUUUUCCUUUUGGUCAGAUUUUUCUUUCACACCCUGAUAAAUAUGGAAAUACGUUUAAAAGGAUUGCACAUAUUUAUAGCCUAUUGCUUGAUGUCUUGGGGAGGGUGGAAUUAAGGGAGGGAGGAAGAAAAAUCUUAGAACACAAAAGUUUUACAUAAAUGAAUGUCAAAAACUAUCUUCACAUGUAUUUGGAAAAAACAAAUAUUUUUCUUUUUCAAAAAGAAUAACAAAUAAAGAGAGCUCAUGGUAUAGUACAAACCAAAGCAGAGUGAGGGGAAAUGUCUAAUUUUGCUGAGAAUGAUAUGUGGCAUAAUAUCAAAUUAUCUGUAGUUUGCUCCAUUACUUGAGAGGAAGGCAGCAAGAAUGGUGAUGGACAAAACUUCAUAUGGACUUCAAAUUUGGAAUUUGGAAAAAUACCCCCAACAAACAUGGUAGAGUUCUGACUUCUGUUUUCUAGGACUGAUUUUUAGAGGUUAAAGAACUAUUUAUGUUUGAUAAACACACACUUAUAAUUUCCUUUCAAAGUAGCUUGCAGACUAUGGUCCUCUGAAUCCACAUACCCAAAUAGCAGAUAUAUUGACACACAUCCACACACACAUUUCUGUUUUUCUUUUUCUUAUCAAUUCUUCUGACACAAUAGAUUAGCAAAAAGCAUUCUAAAAUUUCCAAAUUGCCAUCUUCCCCUUUUCUUCUGUACAUUGCUCACCAAGCCUGCUUAGAAAGCAAAACAACAAAAAAGGCUGCUGAACCCAAUCCUUCUUCAUCCUCCAUGCUUCUCUUCAGGCUUCUGAGAAGUCUCUAAUAACUUUCCCUCAUCUUCUUGACCUUGUCCUUAUUCUAUGUCACAAAAUCAGACAAAUGACAAUGAGCUAAGGAAGAAAGUUGUAUCUACUCCCCUUUUUUAUCAGAUGGUAGUAAGCAAAACUGUUUUUUCAUUUCUAUUGACUUGACAGGGAUCUUUUUCUGAUAAAAGAGAAGAAAGUAAUAAAAGGAUUAUGCUGUGGAGAUGAUGAUAUUUCCUUUCUUCCCUAGAAAGUACUAAGUUAGUUUGGAGGAUUAACAAUGGAAAAUAUGGACUCUGAAAAUAUUUUCUUUGUAGAGGAAAUAGUCAAAUUGCUAUGUUUCUUCAUUCAAAUUUGCUAAACUACACACACACACACAGAGAACUAUCUUUUGAUUCUUCUUCAGACAGCAGCAACCUUUUUCUUUUUUAAGCCAGGGUUUAAAAAAUUCAAAUAUCUCUCCAAAACAUGAUCAGAACAGUUCCUGAUUACUUAAACAGGAUUUUAUUCAUCUCUUGGGUAAAUGUCAGGCUAACCUUAGAAGGGUCAAGUCUAAAGAAAUGCAGAGCUUCAGGAAGGCUCCAAAUAUCUGGAUACUUAAUAAAAAUUACCUUUUAAUCUUAACCUCCAGCUAACAGCAUCAACUUUUUUUGAGCUUUUUUUUUUUGAACUUCCUUUUGAUCUAAAAAUAAUCAGUGUUUAUUUUUUUAAAUCUGUGUUUUGAGUAUUGGAUCAUAUCAUAUCAUUCCAAUUUUGAAAACAGUUCAGAGAUCAUAUACUCCAAAUCCCUCAUUUUACAGAGGAGGAAACUAAAGCUUGAGAGAUAAAUGAUUUGUUUAAGGUCACAAAAGGUCAUAACUGAUGGCUUUUGGCUUUGAAACCAUGUCUUGUUAUUCUAAAUAUAAUAUUCAAUUCACUAUAUUAUACCUCCAAAUUUCUAAGCGAUGACUACUCAGAUUCCUCCCUACUGUCCUGUUCCCAGUAAUCAAUUCCCAUAGACAAAUGAUCUCUAUAUCUUAUGGUAUACUCUGCCUACCUCUCUAAAAGAAAAGAAUUUUUCAAGUUGACUUUUAUAGUUCCUAUUCUCAUUUCUGAAUCAAUAAACCCCUUGUUGAUAUUUGUAAAACUAGGUAUUAAAUCAAUUUACAUCUUAUGCAUUUGUAAUAUGAUCCAUCAGUUUCUUAGAGGAAAGUGUAAUAGCACUGGAGAUCUUGUUCUUACCAAGAUGGAAUGAAUUAUUUUCUGAUAAAAGAAAAACUAUCAUGAUCCCCUUCAAAACUUUGCAUCCAGACUUGGAAAAUUUUUAGCUAGCUAUAUCCCCCUAUUAACAUUCUCUGUCCUUAGCUAUCUCAGUUUUUUUAGUUCAAAUAAAAUAAUUUAUUAUCAGUUCAAGGAAAACUGGUGAAAUAAGAAUAUCCAAGGCUUUAAGAAGAAAUUCCUGGAAGUCUUUUAGAAGAAGAGUUCUUGUCAAAAAUUUGUAGGCCAACUGCAGAUUUGAGAGGCAAAACUGUCUUCUUGUUAGAUCUCUGAAGAAAGUCUCUAACAUCUUAAAAAUUAUUUCAUCACCAUUUCUGAAAAAUUAGUGCAACCUCUCUGAUCGAGAAAGCUACGAGAACUAUUUGUCAAUAAAUCAACUAAAAUGGCAAGGGAAUAUUUUGAUCAGGGCACAAGCUUGAUCUGAGUAUUUGUGCCAGUCUUAAGCUCCAGAACUCCUCCCUCCCUCCACAACUUUGCUCCCUGCUUAGGAGAGAUGUUUCUCAGAACAAAGUCUCUAGAAUGGCUAGUAUCAUUAAAUCAGAUUUUCAUCCUUCUCCAAAUCCAAGUACAAGUAGGCAGACUAUAUCAAAAGUGGGAAAAAUAAAACAAAACAAAGCUCAACAAUGCUUUAAGGACAAACAUUGCCUUUUUUGGCUACUGAGUAGUAUUUAUGAUAAUCUAAAACACAAAGUCUACCAGGCCAGCUGGGUAGUGGUAGCCUAUUAGACGGAAUUCCGAAGUGGGAAAUGAGCUUCCCUCAGGUCACACAGAGACUUUUUGAGUUCUAUGUAAGGGAGAAAAAUGUUCUGGAAAAAUGACCAAUACAAAUCCUUCUGCAUGUACUACAUAUAUCUUCAGCAAGUCACACUCACACAAAAAAGGUUACUUAAAAUUCCAGAGCAUAUCUCUCUCCACUAAUGGAACUGCAAACUCCUGCUGAAGGGCACUCACUUAUCUAGCACUUGACCUUGAGGAGCAGCUUUGUUCACAACCCUCUAUUCUCUCCCAACCUGAAACAACUGAAAAGCCAAGGGUAAAUUGCUGCCGAGAAUGUCUAUUUUCUUUGACCUAUGUGCUCCAAUGAAAAGGAAGACCAACAACUUAGCCCAUAUUAUUCCUGCAUAAGUAGACAAAAGAGAAGGGCCGUAUAGGUACUGAAGGAGUUAAGAAACCUGGAAAGUAAAAAGGUAUCACCAUGUAGAGAACCUGAAAGAAUUCUCCCCAACUUCAAUUCACUUUUUUCCUUUGAUGGCUAUAAACAGAGAGAUGACCUAUUUAUUAGGGUUAUCAUGCUUUCGUCCAGAGCAUAGCACAUCAGUAAAGACUGGAAUCAUGGCAGAGAUCCAAAGGGUAAAAGAGUCCAGAUAUCUCGUUAGACUUUUGUUUUUUUGUUUUUUUUUUAAAACAUAACUAAGAUGGAAAGUAUUCUGACUUCUAUUCAUCAUCAUCAUAUAUCUUUCUCCUUUG
ensembl:lncRNA